rnacentral:lncRNA from 10 species
CAAGUGUCAUAAUGAUGGAAACUAAAUUAGUCGCAUACACAAAGAAUCAUCUGUUCUUUCCGUUUAAGUUUCCUUUCUAAAAUGCCUUAUUAUACAAACAGCAAACUAUUUAAAGAGAGGUUUCCUGGAAUGAGUGUUACUGGUCUGGAAGGGCCUCUGAAGAGUCCAGGAAUAGGUCUGCUAACCAAAGGAAUGACCCCCUCACAGAGACCACCACUGACUGCCAUGUGAGCCGCCGUCCCUCCAGCUGCCCUCACUCCACCGGCUGCUCCCUCUCACAUCCCUCUCUGGAUUCCUUAUCACAAGCCACCCCAAUAAUGAUGCUGAAGACAGAGAACAAAGAGAAGUAGAUGAAAUGACUCACUGAAGAACACUUUUCUAAUUAGGUGCCAACUUAAGAAAACUGGGCUUAUGUCAAAGUCUGAACAUUUAUUGUGUGUGACCUUUGGCAAACUACUUCAGCUCCCUUGCCUCACAGCGUAAUUCACAUGUAAAAUGGGGACUCCCCUCAGACCUCCUUCAUAAGGUUGCUGUAUGGAUUCUGUGAGUUAUUUCAUGAGUAGUCCUGAGAACAGAGCCUGGCAUAAAAAGUGCUAGCAGAAUAUCAGGAUAAGAUGGACAAAACGCAGGCUGAAAGGCAAGAAAUCUGGCUCUAACACCAAAACCUCAUGCCAGCGUUCUGAGUCUGCAUUUCUUCCCUAUAAAAUACUGGUGAUUCCUAUUUAUAGGCCUUCUUGCCUCCUUGAGAAAAUCAAAUGAGCUACUUGAUGUGAAAGGACUUAAAAACUAUCUUUGUUAUUCUAAUUGAUAAAAUGUAUUUUUUUUUAACAAAUAUUUGUUUAGUAUGCCCAGCACUAUUCUAGGUCUGGGGCACAUAAGAACGAGCAGUAGUAGGCCAUGCGUGGUGGCUCACGCCUGUAAUCCCAGAACUUUGGGAGGCAAAGGUGGGCAGAUCACUUGAGCCGAGGAGUUCGAGACUAGCCUGGCCACCAUGGUGAAGCCCCAUCUCUACUAAAAAUACAAAAAUUAGCCAGGUGUGAUGGCACACACCUGUAAUCCCAGCUACUGAGGAGGCUGAGGCAGGAGAAUCGCUUGAAUCCAGGAGGCAGAGGUUGGAGUGAGCUGAGAUUGUACUACUGCACUCCAGCCUGGGCGACAAAGUGAGACUCUGUUUUAAACAACAACAAAAACAGCAGUAUUGAUAUAAAGUCUUUUUCUCCAAUAAGUUUUCAUUUAAAAAUACAUAUACAUACUUUGGGAGGCCAAGGAGGAUAGAUUUUGUGAGUCCGGGAGUUUGAGACCAGCCUGGCCAACAUGCCAAAACCCUGUCUCUACUAAAAAUACAAAAAAUUAGCUGGGCAUGGUGGUGCAUGCCUGUAAUGUCUGUAGUCCCAGCUAAUCAGGAGGCUGAAGUGGGGAGAAUCACCUGAGCCUGGGAGAUCGAGGCUGCAGUAAGCCAAGAUUGGGCAACAGAGUGAGACACUGUCUCAAAUAUAAAAAAUAAAAAUAUAUAUAUACCUACAUUUUUUUUUUGAGACAGAGUCUUGCUCUGUCGCCCAGGCUAGAGUGCAGUGGUGCAAUCUCCGCUCACUACAAGCUCAGCCUCCUGGGUUCACGCCAUUCUCCUGCCUCAGCCUCCCGAGUAGCUGGGACUACAGGCGCCCGCCACCAUGCCCAGCUAAUUUGAGAGAGAGAGAGAGACAUGAAAUACACAUACAUAAUAUAUACACAUAAUAUAUAUUAGGGUUAUCCGGAGAAACAGAAUUAGGGUGUGUAUACAUAGAAAUAUAUAUUUAUUUUUAUAUCUAUAUUUAUAUAUUUAUAUUUACAUGUACCCACAUACACACAGAGAGAAAGAGAUUUAUUUUAAGGAAUUGGCUCCUGUGAUUGUGGAGAUUUAAUGAGUCCAAAAUCUGAUGAGUUGGGCCCUAGGCAGAGCUGUAGGGAAGACUCCAAAGGCAAUGUGCUUUUACAAAACUCAGAUAAAUUGUAUGAUCUCCGGUUUAAUACUCUGUCUGAAAGUCCAUCUAAGAUUUAGAAGUUGAAAUAAUUCUAUGAUCCAUUGGCUGGAUUAAUGAAGUUAUGUUUAAUGGUAGAAAGCAAAUAUUCACAUUUUCAUUUAAGUCCCCAAGAGAAUCACGGUUAUCUGGAGCAUUAAAAAAACAUUAAGCAUUAAGAGUAGUAUCUUAAAAGCUCUAUUAUCCAGUUAUAUCACUGAGCGACAAGAAACAUAGCUAUAUGCUUUGCCAUCUGUGCAUGAGCUGAAUAACAGACAUGCAGUGAAAGGAGUAACGUGAUUGGUCACUGAUCAAGUUGCACAUUCGUUAUUUGCAUAGUGAUUUGUGGACUGAAGAGGUAGCAGUUGUGCUUUAUUGCAAUUACCACAGUUAAUGUACACUGACUGGUAACCAAAAUUGGAAUUUUGCUUGUGUCUAUUUAAAACCCAAGCUGGUUGAGAUCAUAUAAGGAAUUACUAGACAGAAAACAGGAGGAAGUUAAGUACUAUACCAGGUGGGAUCCCAAAUUGUAGAGGUAAAAUAGGAAAAAUUUAGUAAAAGAGAUUACGAUAAAGCAGUCAGUGAGGUGGUGGGAAAGCAAAAAAAUGUAGUGCCUACAAAUCAAAUUUCUGUAGUGUUUUGAGAAUGGGGAAACUCUUGACUUUGGUCAGCAUGCUCCUAAGUGGACUGCAGGCUAUGUGGGAACUGGGUGAGGCCUGUGACUGCCGUCUUUCCCCCACUUCCCUGGUGACCUGUGUGACUCAGCAAAGGCAGCCAUAAUCCCCCUGUGAACAUACCUCCAUUGGGCUGAGAACCACACUCCCAUCCCCCACAGCAGCUGCAGCAAGGCCCACCCAAGGAGACUCUGAGAUCAGACAGGCCUAUCCUUGUCCCCACCUAGUGGUCUUUCUCUGCCUGCCCUGGCAGCUGAAGACAAAGAACAUAAUCUCUUGGGAGCUCUAUAACCCCACCCACUGCCUGAUCCUGCUUAUACAGCUGCAGCUGAUACGCUCUGGAAAAUGAGACAGAGUCUUGCUCUGUCGCCCAGGCUAGAGUGCAGUGGUGCACUCUUGUGUUCCUGGCUGAAGGCCAACCAACACAAAACCAGCACACUAAAGAAAAAUACAAGCAAGGACCCACACAGAGUCUAUUUCACUUUGCAGACAUUCCUUAGUACCAGCUCAGAGCCUGGUAGGCUCUGCUGGGUGACUAGACCCAGAAGAGCAAAAGCAAUCACUGCAGUUCGCCUCUCAGGAAGCCCCAUCCCUAGGGGAAGGGGGAGAACACCACAUCAAAGGAGCACCCCAUGGAGCAAAAGAAUCUGAACAGCAGCACUUGAGUUCCAGAUCUUCCCUCUGACAUAGCCUAUCCAAAUGAGAAGGAACCAGAAAAAUAAUUCUGGUAUUACGAUAAAACAAGUUUCUUUAACAUCCCCAAAAGACCACACCAGCUCACCAGUAAUGGAUCCAAACCAAGACAAAAUUUCUGAAUUGCCAGAAAAAGAAUUCAGAAGGCCCAUUAUUAAGCUAAUCAAGGAGGCACUAGAGAAACGUGAACUCCAACUUAAAGAAAUCAAAAACAUGAUACACGAUAUGAGAGGAAAAAUCUUCAGUGAAAUAGAUAGCAUAAAUAAAAAACAAUCACGACUUCUGGAAAUCAAGGAUACACUUAGAGAAAUGCAAAAUGCAUUGGAAAGUCUCAGUAAUAGAAUAAAAUGAUCAGAAGAAAGAACUUCAGAGCUCAAAGACAAAGCUUUUGAAUUAACCCAAUCUGACAAAGACAAAGACAAAAAAUAUUUAAAAAUGAACAAAGCCUCCAAGAAGUUUGGGACUAUGUUAGGCAUCCAAACCUAAGAAUAACUGGUGGUGUUCCUGAGGAAGAAGAGAAAUCUAAAAGUCUGGAAAACACAUUUCAGGGAAUAAUCAAGGAAAUCUCCUCUGGCCUUGCAAGAGAUCUAGAUAUCCAAAUACGAGUAGCUCAAAGAACAUCCAGGAAAUUCAUUACAAAAAGAUCAUCAUCUAGGCACAUAGUCAUCAGGUUAUCUAAAGUCAAGAUGAAGGAAAGAAUCUUAAAAGCUGUGAAGCAAAAGCAUCAGGUAACCUAUAAAGGAAAACCUAUCAGACUAACAGAUUUCUUAGCAGAAACCAUACAAGCUAGAGUAAUUGGGGUCCUAUUUUAGCCUCCUUAAACAAAACAAUUAUCAACCAAGAAUUUUUUAUCCAGAGAAACUAGGCUUCAUAAAUGAAGGAAAGAUACAGUCUUUUCCAGACAUAACAAAUGCUGAGAGAAUUCACCACUACCAAUCUGGCACUACAAGAACUGCUAAAAGGCGCUCUAAAUCUUGAAACAAAUCCUCAAAACACACCAAAAUAGAACCUCCUUAAAGCAUAAAUCUCACAGGACUUAUGUAACAAUAACACAAUGAAAAAAUAAACAAGGUAUUCAGGCAACAAAUAGCACAAUAAACAGAAUAGUAGCUCACAUCUCAAUACAAAUACAGAAUGGCAAAUGGAUAAGAAUUCACCAACCAAGUUUCUACUGUCUUCAGGAGACUCACCUAACACAUAGGAACUCACAUAAACUUAAGGUAAAGAGGUAGAAAAAGAUAUUCCAUUCAAAUAGAAACCAAAAGCAAGCAGGAGUAGCUAUUCCUAUAUCAGAAUAAAACAAACUUUAAAGCAACAGCAGUUAAGAAAGACAAAGAGGGACAUUAUACAAUGAUAAAAGGACUAAUCCAACAGGAAAAUAUCACAAUCCUAAAUAUACAUAUGCACCUAACACUGGAGCUCCCAAAUUUAUAAAACAAUUACUACUAGACCUACCAAAUGAAACAGAAGGCAACACAACAAUAGUGGGGGACUUGAAUACUCCACUGUCAGCACUAGACAGGUCAUGAAGACAAAAAGUCAACAAAGAAACAAUGUAGGAGGCAGUCACUAUUUUCCCUCUCCAUUCCCACCUCCCUGUCUGCCUCCAAACAUUCCAGUUGGGCCUUAGGCCAUGUUACUCCAGCAAAACAACCCUGUCUAGGUCCAGAUUGAUCUUAAUAUUCCAGUUUCAAUGGUUAAUUAGUCCACACUACUUGACCUCUUAGGAGCAUUUUGACCAAAGCUGAAAGCUUCCUCCUUCUUCACAUGUUACUAAAAUUUGGUUUCUGGGCACUGUGCUUUCUUGGCUUUUCCACCACCUCUCUGGCUGCUCUUUCUCUUUUGCUAAACUUUCCCUGUCUAUCUCACGUCUACAGUUCGGGGCACUACCGGGUAUAGUCCUUAACCUCUUACUGUUCUGUAUCUAGUAACUCCCUAUAUGAUUCUCAACCAGUUUGAGGUUUUAAAUAGCAUUUAUAUAUCAAUGACUCCCAAAUUUGUAUCUCUAGCCACCGUCUCUUCCCUGAGCUCUAGAAUAGGUGAUAAUAUUCCUCUCAACUUAUCACAUCUAAAGGAAAACUUUUAAUUUUCCCUUCCCAGCUGCUGCUUCCCAUCUUCUCCAUCUUUAUAUAUCAUACCAUUAUACCCUUACUUGCCCUAGCCAAAAACUUAGGAAUGAUCUUUAAUUCCUUUCUUUCCCUCACAGCCCAUACCUAAUCUAUCAGUUUGCUCAGUUUGGUCUUCAGGAUAUACCCUGAAGCUGACCUCUUCUUAAACCCUAUUGCUAAAACCCUGGUCCAAACCAUCAUUAUUCCUCACCUGAACUGCUGCAAAAACCUCCCAACUUGGCCUCCAGCCAGGAAGGGGUUUUCUUGUUUCCACUAUAGCUAUUCCAUAGUCAACUUUUAGCUCAGUUUCCAGAAUGAUCCUCUAAAAAUGCAUAUUGAAUCACAUCACUCCUCUGAUUAAAACUGUCUGGCAGCUUCUCAUCACACAAAGUAUAAAAUCCAAACUCUUUACCACAGCCUACAAGGGCUCCUGUGAUCUGUCCUCUUUGUGCUUCUCCAAGCUCAUCUUCUAAUUCUCUCCCUCUAGCUCACUCUAGCUACACGUCUACAUUCUGCUGUUUUUAUACUACAAGCUCAUUCCUCUUUUGGGGGAUUUGCAUUUGCUAUUCCUUCCACAUAAUAUUCCCCACCUCCUUCAAUCUUAGCAGUGCUUUAUUGAUUGAUUGCCUAAAGGUCAGCUCAGCAGGAUGUCUUCCAUGAUGACUUUAUAUAAAAGAGCACUUCCUGUUCGCAUCCCUGUUCCCUCUUCAUUUUCCUUCAUAAAAAUUAUCAUACCUCUUGAUAUUCCAUUAUAAGUACACACACACAUACAUACACAGGGUGAGAGAGAGAGAGAGAGACAAUCCUCACUUAGCACACUUUUGAUAUGCAUGGGGUUCAGUUACAACAUUUUAAAUAAAAACCCUAGUCCCUCAACAGCAUGCUUCAAAUUUCAGUUCUCAUGGUAGAUUAACAGUAAGUAAUUGCAUAAGAUACAAAAUUUGCCACCAGCCCUUCAGUCCACAAAUCGCUAUGUGAAAAGAGAGAUGUGCAUAAUGAUCAGUAACUAAUUGCAUCACUCCUUUCACCAUCCGUUAGUGAUUGCUCACUGUGUUUGUUAUUCAGUUCAUCACAGACAGCAAAGCAUGGACUUUGGAUGCCUCUUUGUCUCCCACUGAUAAACCCAUAGGAUGUUUUAUGAAAACGGGUCACUGAAAGAGAGAAUUAGACAACAAAGAUGAAAAAGCAGCAAAGAAACAACAAAUGAUAACACAAAAUAAAAUAAAAAUAAAAUGUAAAUAGAGUUACAAAAGAAAUAUCUGACCAUGGGAAUAUUGAUACUGGCAUCAUUUGAGAAACUAUAGCUCUAUAACCAAAGGAACUCAGUGAAGCACAGCUAUCAACACACAUGAGGAAAAGUGGGUGUGAAGAAAAGGAUGAAGAUGCCCCAGAAGUCACGCUUGCUGAAAAACUUCCCCUUAAAGGAAUUCUCAAAGAUACAUCAUGAUAUUGAAGGCACAAAGGAGAAAACAUUGGAAG